UACGUAGGGGGCAAGCGUUGUCCGGAAUUAUUGGGCGUAAAGAGCGCGUAGGCGGUCCGAUAAGUCGGCUGUGAAAGUCAGGGGCUCAACCCUUGGAAGCCGGCCGAUACUGUCGGACUAGAGUCCGGAAGAGGCGAGUGGAAUUCCCGGUGUAGCGGUGAAAUGCGCAGAUAUCGGGAGGAACACCAAUGGCGAAGGCAGCUCGCUGGGACGGUACUGACGCUGAGGCGCGAAAGCGUGGGGAGCGAACAGG
rnacentral:rRNA from 1 species